CAUAGGUUAAUGAGGCGAACCGGGGGAACUGAAACAUCUAAGUACCCCGAGGAAAAGAAAUCAACCGAGAUUCCCCCAGUAGCGGCGAGCGAACGGGGAGCAGCCCAGAGCCUGAAUCAGUGUGUGUGUUAGUGGAAGCGUCUGGAAAGGCGCGCGAUACAGGGUGACAGCCCCGUACACAAAAAUGCACAUACUGUGAGCUCGAUGAGUAGGGCGGGACACGUGGUAUCCUGUCUGAAUAUGGGGGGACCAUCCUCCAAGGCUAAAUACUCCUGACUGACCGAUAGUGAACCAGUACCGUGAGGGAAAGGCGAAAAGAACCCCGGCGAGGGGAGUGAAAAAGAACCUGAAACCGUGUACGUACAAGCAGUGGGAGCCUCUUUAUGGGGUGACUGCGUACCUUUUGUAUAAUGGGUCAGCGACUUAUAUUCUGUAGCAAGGUUAACCGAAUAGGGGAGCCGAAGGGAAACCGAGUCUUAACUGGGCGUUAAGUUGCAGGGUAUAGACCCGAAACCCGGUGAUCUAGCCAUGGGCAGGUUGAAGGUUGGGUAACACUAACUGGAGGACCGAACCGACUAAUGUUGAAAAAUUAGCGGAUGACUUGUGGCUGGGGGUGAAAGGCCAAUCAAACCGGGAGAUAGCUGGUUCUCCCCGAAAGCUAUUUAGGUAGCGCCUCGUGAAUUCAUCUCCGGGGGUAGAGCACUGUUUCGGCAAGGGGGUCAUCCCGACUUACCAACCCGAUGCAAACUGCGAAUACCGGAGAAUGUUAUCACGGGAGACACACGGCGGGUGCUAACGUCCGUCGUGAAGAGGGAAACAACCCAGACCGCCAGCUAAGGUCCCAAAGUCAUGGUUAAGUGGGAAACGAUGUGGGAAGGCCCAGACAGCCAGGAUGUUGGCUUAGAAGCAGCCAUCAUUUAAAGAAAGCGUAAUAGCUCACUGGUCGAGUCGGCCUGCGCGGAAGAUGUAACGGGGCUAAACCAUGCACCGAAGCUGCGGCAGCGACACUAUGUGUUGUUGGGUAGGGGAGCGUUCUGUAAGCCUGUGAAGGUGUGCUGUGAGGUAUGCUGGAGGUAUCAGAAGUGCGAAUGCUGACAUAAGUAACGAUAAAGCGGGUGAAAAGCCCGCUCGCCGGAAGACCAAGGGUUCCUGUCCAACGUUAAUCGGGGCAGGGUGAGUCGACCCCUAAGGCGAGGCCGAAAGGCGUAGUCGAUGGGAAACAGGUUAAUAUUCCUGUACUUGGUGUUACUGCGAAGGGGGGACGGAGAAGGCUAUGUUGGCCGGGCGACGGUUGUCCCGGUUUAAGCGUGUAGGCUGGUUUUCCAGGCAAAUCCGGAAAAUCAAGGCUGAGGCGUGAUGACGAGGCACUACGGUGCUGAAGUAACAAAUGCCCUGCUUCCAGGAAAAGCCUCUAAGCAUCAGG
rnacentral:rRNA from 1 species